AACACUAGCCGAGCAAACGAAAGUUGCAAGCAUCGGAAGUCAAGUCUUUCACAUC
rfam:Beet western yellows virus, complete genome